GAGUUUCGUUUCUCCCUCUCACCUCAUAUUCUUCUUCCUCCAAGCUUCUCCUUGUUUCAGAUUUCGCAGGUACUGGCGGGUGAAGGUAGUAUAGCACGGCGGAUAGAUCCAGGGUUUCAGAAAUUGAAACUCGGAUCUCUUCUUCUUCUUCUUGCUUCAAGUUUGUUCGUUCGUCCCCCUCUGUAUACUGUUUUGUUUUCUUGCUGCAAUUUUUUAGUCUCUCCUGUACUGUUUUUUAUCCUCGCCAAUCAAUAUUUUCUUUAUGAUGACAACCGCCGUUGUUAUUACGAAUCUGAAUUCCAUUUGCUCCAGAACGGACUCAAAUUUAAUUUGCCAUCUCCA